rnacentral:lncRNA from 1 species
UGAAAAAUGGGGAUUUUGGGGGAAAAUGGGGGGUUUUUAUAAUGGAAAAUGGGGAUUUGGGGGAAAAUGGGGAUUUUUGAGAAUGAAAAAAUGGGGAUUUGGGGCAAAAAUGGGGAAUUUUGAGAAAUAAAAAUGGGAAUUUGUGGCAAAAAUGAGAUUUUUGAGAAAGGAAAAAUGGAGAUUUGGGGGGAAAAUGGGGAUUUUUGGGAAAUAAAAAUGUGCAUUUUGGGGGAUUUUUGUAAUGGAAAAUGGGGAUUUGGGGUGAAAAUGGGGAUUUUUGAGAAUGAAAAAUGGGGAUUUGGGGCAAAAAUGGGGAUUUUGA